AUCAAAUGUACUCUGUCAGUCAAGUCAAUGUAAAAGUUAAAUAUCAAUGAGGACAUGGGGAUUGAAUCCACAUAUACCCCUGACAGCUGCACAAUAGUGACUGAACAAAUGUAUCUAUUCCACUCCACUCACAAGCGCAGCGGCUGUCUGAUGCCACCCAACACUACUAAUUGACUCCAUUCCUUAUGUCGGACCUGUUAUCCCUGACUUACUCGUCCCAUAACUGGAAGCCAUUACCUCCCACUCUCUGCCCCCGACAGUUUGUUCUAUUUAUGGUCUGUUUCUGCUUUUUGUUUAUCGUUUGCUCUGUUUUGUAGAUUCCACGCAUAAGUAAAAUCAUAAAACCUC